GCGGGUGAAAAGCCCGCUCGCCGGAAGACCAAGGGUUCCUGUCCAACGUUAAUCGGGGCAGGGUGAGUCGACCCCUAAGGCGAGGCCGAAAGGCGUAGUCGAUGGGAAACGGGUUAAUAUUCCCGUACUUGGUGUUACUGCGAAGGGGGGACGGAGAAGGCUAUGUUGGCCGGGCGACGGUUGUCCCGGUUUAAGCGUGUAGGUGUGUGUUCCAGGUAAAUCCGGUUCACUUUAACACUGAGGCGUGAUGACGAGGCACUACGGUGCUGAAGCAACAAAUGCCCUGCUUCCAGGAAAAGCCUCUAAGCAUCAGGUAACAUCAAAUCGUACCCCAAACCGACACAGGUGGUCAGGUAGAGAAUACCAAGGCGCUUGAGAGAACUCGGGUGAAGGAACUAGGCAAAAUGGUGCCGUAACUUCGGGAGAAGGCACGCUGACAC
rnacentral:rRNA from 2 species